UUUUUCUGUGUUUUUUCAUAAUUCUGUCUGUUUAUGAGAAAAUACAGCCUCUGCAUUUGGAGAACAAAAGAGAUUGGAACCCAUGGCACCAGAGACCAAAGCAAGAUGGAGAAAAGAGAUCGACUGGCUCCUAUCUGUCACAGAUCACAUUGUUGAAUUUGCGCCUUCAAAACAAAGGUCGAAAGAUGGAACACAAAUGGAGGUAAUUUAUUUCUUUCUAUUGUAAUGUUUGCCCAAGGGAUAUUCAUUUGAGGAAGCUUAAGUAUGGAUGUUUGUGUGUUUAUCAAUCCAUUUUAAAGAAACGUAAGUUCUUAAUUCAUGAUCAGAUUAUGGUGACAAAGCAACGAACAGAUCUCCAAAUGAACAUCCCUGCCCUACGGAAGCUCGACGCUGUGCUGCUUGUAAGUUAAAAAUUUCUUUAUUUGUGAUUUGUUUCCUGCAUUAGAGUUCAUUUUGUUUCAUUGUUUACUUAUUCAUAUUGUUAAUGAAAAGCAGGAUUGCCUUGAUAACUUUAAAGACCAAAAUGAGUUCUACUACGAAAAGAAUGCCGAUGGGAGGACAGAUGAUAAAUGGUGGAUUCCUACUCCUAAAGUUCCUCCAAAUGGCUUAAGUGAGACGACAAGAAAGUGGCUACAAUCUCAGAAGGAUUCUGUAAGCCAAGUAAUCAAAGCAGCUAUGGCCAUAAACGCUCAGGUCCUGACUGAAAUGGAGGUUCCUGAGAGCUAUGUAGAUACUCUCCCUAAGGUAAUAGGAAUCCAAAAUUAAAUCAUAUGUUGCUAGAAGUCAAGUUUGUAGUAUGUUUGAAACACAGUAAUAGACAGUGAAAUGAACCAGGUUUUAACUUAUUUUUUCAUGAUAGAAUGGGAGAUCAAGCCUUGGAGAUUCAAUCUACAAGAGCAUCACGGAUGAAUACUUUGAUCCGGACAUUUUACUUUCGACUCUGGACUUGUCAUCAGAGCAUAAAAUCCUCGAGUUCAAAAAUAAGAUUGAGGCAUCAGUGAUAAUCUGGAAAAGGAAAAUGAAUGCUAAAGAUAGCAAAUCUUCCUGGAGUUCGGCCGUGAGUUUGGAGAAGAGAGAACUUUUCGAAGACAGAGCAGAGACUAUUUUGCUUAUUCUUAAGCACCGAUUUCCCGGAAUUCCACAAUCUUCUCUAGACAUCAGUAAAAUCCAAUGCAACAGAGUAAGAACUUCUUCUUUCAACCUCUCACUUGACUCUUUUUACAAGUUUCUUCACCGUUCUGUUAAAGUCACUCCUUCCGCAGAAACUAGCACAUAACUUAUAGCACACUUGGCGGGGAAAAUUGAAUUUUGUUGGACAGAACUAAAGACUCAAAUCUUGUUCAUAAUAAUGUUCAGACCUGUCUAGUAAUGUAUACCAAACAGGUACUUAAUGUUCAUUUUUGCUAAAUGUCUGAUCUUUUCUCGGUCUGGCAGGAUGUGGGACAUGCUAUUCUUGAAAGCUAUUCAAGAAUAAUUGAAAGCCUAGCGUUCACAGUGUUGUCGAGAAUAGAAGAUGUCUUACAAGCCGACUCUCUUGCACAGAAUCCAUCAAAUGGAGAACAAAAGAGGUACACCUUAAAAGACCCUUCACCUAUUACAGUGAAAUUUCCAAAUCCUAACGACGAAUUAGAGAAAACAAAUUCAGAUGAAACGCCAACUUCAAUGACACUGCUAGACUUUAUGGGAUGGAAUUUAGAUCAAGGAGAGACUGAUGCAAAGAAAGAUGUUGACUCAAAGGUCCUCCCUAAACCGCUAAACAUUAUGACGAACAAGAAAUUUUCCUACAUAGAGAGGCUAGAGAACCUAGGGGGUGCAAGAAGUCCAACAGCACGCCAUUAAUUGAUUUUGUUGCAGAUGAAUAACUGACAGAACUCGACUCUAGCAUAAAAGCUCAGCCCUAAUGUACGUAUGCAUUUCGGUCUUGCCAUAGAAAUCUAGUAAAAUUCUAGUGCUAGUUCUGUAACUUGGAAGCAUAUGCUGAAUUAUACUCUUGACUUAUUUUGAAAUUGAUCACUUAAUUGUACUCGAGUUACUUUAAAAUUGAAUCAGAUACAACAAGAAUUGUACUGAAAUACUUGUAAUAUUAAACAGUAAAAGUAGAUUCUGAUAUGCUUACAGGCUGUUGAAAUGACACAUUGAACACAAUAAAUUUAUAAAGGUUGAAAAUGUUAUAUCUGGGAAAUUAGAUUUUGCCACGUGGUCCUGGCUUGGGUGGAAGUUGUGGGCCCUUUACAAUAGGUAAAACGUCUCCUGUUGCUUUGGAGCUCACAUAAGCAAUGGUGAUGCCACCUCCCAAUAUCAAGAACUUCAGCAAAAGACCUCUCUUGGUGAAAGGAGCAGCAAAUGUCUCGAAGAACUUGCUCUGUGAUCGUAAAUGAAUGUCAACAACGAAACUACACUAUAAUACUAGCCCAGCACUGAA
rnacentral:lncRNA from 1 species